GGACUCGGGGAAUCCGACUGUCUAAUUAAAACAGAGGAGACAGAUGGCUUGCGGACGUUUACAGUCUCUGAUUUCUGCCCAGUGCUCUGAAUGUUAAAUCGUAGUAAUUAAGCGUAAGCGCGGGUAAACGGCGGGAGUAACUAUGACUCUCUUAAGGUAGCCAAAUGCCUCGUCAGCUAACUACUGUCGCGCAUCUCUGGCUGGGGCUACCU
rnacentral:ncRNA from 1 species